GACGUAGGGCGCGAGCGUUGUCCGGAUUUAUUGGGCGUAAAGAGCUCGUAGGCGGUUUGUCGCGUCGUCCGUGAAAACUCACAGCUUAACUGUGAGCUUGCGGUCGAUACGGGCAGGCUAGAGUUCGGUAGGGGAGACUGGAAUUCCUGGUGUAGCGGUGAAAUGCGCAGAUAUCAGGAGGAACACCGGUGGCGAAGGCGGGUCUCUGGGCCGCAACUGACGCUGAGGAGCGAAAGCGUGGGGAGCGAACAGG
rnacentral:rRNA from 1 species